UACGUAGGGAGCAAGCGUUGUCCGGAAUCAUUGGGCGUAAAGCGCGCGUAGGUGGCUUCGUAAGUCCGUUGUGAAAGUCAAAGGCUCAACCUUUGAAAGCCGAUGGAUACUGCGGAGCUAGAGUACGGAAGAGGCGAGUGGAAUUCCUGGUGUAGCGGUGGAAUGCGCAGAUAUCAGGAGGAACACCAAUAGCGAAGGCAGCUCGCUGGGACGUUACUGACACUGAGGCGCGGAAGCGUGGGGAGCGAACAGG
rnacentral:rRNA from 1 species